GUGAGGGAGGAGGCUCUUGGGUUGUAAACCUCUUUUCUCAGGGAAGAAGCUCUGACGGUACCUGAGGAAUCAGCCUCGGCUAACUCCGUGCCAGCAGCCGCGGUAAUACGGAGGAGGCAAGCGUUAUCCGGAAUUAUUGGGCGUAAAGCGUCCGCAGGUGGCGAUUCAAGUCUGCUGUCAAAGCACGGGGCUUAACUCCGUUAAGGCAGUGGAAACUGAAUGGCUAGAGUGCCGUAGGGGUAGAGGGAAUUCCCGGUGUAGCGGUGAAAUGCGUAGAGAUCGGGAAGAACAUCGGUGGCGAAAGCGCUCUACUGGACGGCAACUGACACUCAGGGACGAAAGCUAGGGGAGCGAAUGGGAUUAGAUACCCAGUAGUCAA
rnacentral:rRNA from 1 species